UACGGGGGGGGGCAAGCGUUUGUUCGGAAUUACUGGGCGUAAGGGCGCGUAGGCGGCCUUCUAAGUCGGACGUGAAAUCCCUCGGCUUAACCGAGGAACUGCGUCCGAUACUGAAAGGCUUGAAUCCGGGAGAGGGAUGUGGAAUUCCAGGUGUAGCGGUGAAAUGCGUAGAUAUCUGGAGGAACACCGGUGGCGAAGGCGGCAUCCUGGACCGGUAUUGACGCUGAGGCGCGAAAGCUAGGGGAGCAAACGGG
rnacentral:rRNA from 1 species